AGUGAACGCUGGCGGUAGGCCUAACACAUGCAAGUCGAACGGCAGCACAGCAAGAGCUUGCUCUUACGGGUGGCGAGUGGCGGACGGGUGAGGAAUACAUCGGAAUCUACUUUUUCGUGGGGGAUAACGUAGGGAAACUUACGCUAAUACCGCAUACGACCUACGGGUGAAAGCAGGGGAUCUUCGGACCUUGCGCGAUUGAAUGAGCCGAUGUCGGAUUAGCUAGUUGGCGGGGUAAAGGCCCGCCAAGGCGACGAUCCGUAGCUGGUCUGAGAGGAUGAUCAGCCACACUGGAACUGAGACACGGUCCAGACUCCUACGGGAGGCAGCAGUGGGGAAUAUUGGACAAUGGGCGCAAGCCUGAUCCAGCCAUACCGCGUGGGUGAAGAGGGCCUUCGGGUUGUAAAGCCCUUUUGUUGGGAAAGAAAAGCAGCAGGUUAAUACCCCGCUGUUCUGACGGUACCCAAAGAAUAAGCACCGGCUAACUUCGUG
rnacentral:rRNA from 1 species